rnacentral:rRNA from 1 species
AGUGAACGCUGGCGGCGUGCCUAAUACAUGCAAGUCGAACGGAGAUUAAAUAGCUUGCUAUUUAAUCUUAGUGGCGCACGGGUGAGUAAUAUAUAGUUAAUCUGCCCCAUAGUGGAGGACAACAGUUAGAAAUGACUGCUAAUACUCCAUACUCCUUCUUAUCAUAAGUUAAGUCGGGAAAGUUUUUCGCUAUGGGAUGAGACUAUAUCGUAUCAGCUAGUUGGUGAGGUAAUGGCUCACCAAGGCUAUGACGCGUAACUGGUCUGAGAGGAUGAUCAGUCACAUUGGAACUGAGACACGGUCCAAACUCCUACGGGAGGCAGCAGUAGGGAAUAUUGCGCAAUGGGGGAAACCCUGACGCAGCAACGCCGCGUGGAGGAUGACACUUUUCGGAGCGUAAACUCCCUUUGUUAGGGAAGAAUAAUGACGGUACCUAACGAAUAAGCACCGGCUAACUCCGUGCCAGCAGCCGCGGUAAUACGGAGGGUGCAAGCGUUACUCGGAAUCACUGGGCGUAAAGGACGCGUAGGCGGAUUAUCAAGUCUCUUGUGAAAUCUAGUGGCUUAACCACUAAACUGCUUGGGAAACUGAUAAUCUAGAGUAAGGGAGAGGCAGAUGGAAUUCUUGGUGUAGGGGUAAAAUCCGUAGAGAUCAAGAAGAAUACUUAUUGCGAAGGCGAUCUGCUAGAACUUAACUGACGCUAAUGCGUGAAAGCGUGGGGAGCAAACAGG